rnacentral:rRNA from 1 species
AAGGGCACCACAAGAACGCGUGGAGCAUGUGGCUUAAUUUGACUCAACGCGGGAAAUCUUACCGGGUCCGGACACACUGAGGAUUGACAGGCAAUAUUAUAACCUCGCUAUUUAAUGGCAGGUUAUAUGUUAAAUAUGCUGGUCCUUUCAUGAUUAUGUGAUAGGUGGUGCAUGGCCGUUCUUAGUUCGUGGAGUGAUCUGUCUGCUUAAUUGCGUUUCACUAAGGGCCUAUUUACAAUGUAUGUUGCGGCACUUUGACCCCUGUAUUUCUAUACAGCGCGUGUCUUUGUUUGCUUAUGCGCAUACUAUUAGGUCCUGAAAGCAACGAACGUGACCGCAACCUCUUGUUGCCCGCAUUACAAUGCAUAUUUUUAUAAUAUGUUUCGUGGGCCAUAUUUAAACUAGAGGGACCGCUGUUACUUUCUUAAACCAGAGGAAGGUUGCGGCAAUAACAGGUCUGUGAUGCCCUUAGAUGUUCCGGGCUGCACACGUGCUACAAUGAUUAUUGCAGUGAGCAUCUCAUUUUAUAACACACCGCAUGCGCGGGUCCAUUUAUUCACUUCUGUGUUUUAAAUGCGUUUACUCUGCGCGCGGUAAAGCCUGCUUCGAAAGUAAGUGGGUAAUCAAUUAGAAGUAAUGAUUUCCUUUAUUAUUUGCACAAUUAUAUACGGCAUCUUUACCCGGCUGUCCUUUGUUGGCAGUUCUUUGUGCGUAUUGAUGUAUUAUUCCGUAUGUGCGAUUGUCAAUUCAUGGUGGGGACAGACCAUUGUUAAUUGUUGGUCUCGGUCUUAACUAGGAAUGCCUUGUACGGGUCUUUGGUUCAACAAACCACCCGGAAUACGUCCCUGCCCUUUGUACACACCGCCCGUCGCUCUUACCGAUGGACUUCUCUGUGAGUUUGAGGGACUGGGUAUCUUAACCUAUGGAAACUUAAACGAACAGUGUGGUCUAAAGGAAAGAGAAGUCGAACAAGGCA